GUGUGGGGGNCCUUUUCCGGGUUUUCCGCGCCGUAGCUAACGCAUUAAGUGCCCCGCCUGGGGAGUACGGCCGCAAGGCUAAAACUCAAAGGAAUUGACGGGGGCCCGCACAAGCGGCGGAGCAUGCGGAUUAAUUCGAUGCAACGCGAAGAACCUUACCAAGGCUUGACAUGGGCUGGAUUGCUUCGGAGACGGGGUUUCCCUUUUUUGGGCUGGUUCACAGGUGGUGCAUGGUUGUCGUCAGCUCGUGUCGUGAGAUGUNNNNNNAAGUCCCGCAACGAGCGCAACCCUUGUCUCGUGUUGCCAGCACGUUGUGGUGGGGACUCGCGGGAGACUGCCGGGGUUAACUCGGAGGAAGGUGGGGAUGACGUCAAAUCAUCAUGCCCCUUAUGUCUUGGGCUUCACGCAUGCUACAAUGGCCGGUACAGUGGGUUGCGAUGCUGUGAGGCGGAGCGAAUCCCUGAAAGCCGGUCUCAGUUCGGAUCGGUGUCUGCAACUCGACACCGUGAAGUUGGAGUCGCUAGUAAUCGCAGAUCAGCAGCGCUGCGGUGAAUACGUUCU
rnacentral:rRNA from 1 species